GACGAACGCUGGCGGCGUGCUUAACACAUGCAAGUCGAACGGAAAGGCCCUGCUUUUGUGGGGUGCUCGAGUGGCGAACGGGUGAGUAACACGUGAGUAACCUGCCCUUGACUUUGGGAUAACUUAAGAAAACUGGGGCAAAUACCGGAUAGGAGCUCUUGCUGAUUGGUGGGGGUUGGAAAGUUUCGGCGGUUGGGGAUGGACUCGCGGCUUAUCAGCUUGUUGGUGGGGUAGUGGCUUACCAAGGCUUUGACGGGUAGCCGGCCUGAGAGGGUGACCGGCCACAUUGGGACUGAGAUACGGCCCAGACUCCUACGGGAGGCAGCAGUGGGGAAUAUUGCACAAUGGGCGGAAGCCUGAUGCAGCAACGCCGCGUGCGGGAUGACGGCCUUCGGGUUGUAAACCGCUUUCGCCUGUGACGAAGCGUGAGUGACGGUAAUGGGUAAAGAAGCACCGGCUAACUACGUG
rnacentral:rRNA from 1 species